rnacentral:misc_RNA from 1 species
AACGCACAUUGCGCCCCUUGGUAUUCCUUGGGGCAUGCCUGUUCGAGCGUCAUUUACACCACUCAAGCCCCGUGCUUGGUCCUGGGGUGCGCCGGUCCUCCCGGCCCCCCCAAUCCCAGUGGCGGCAGCCCUGACCCCUCCGCGCAGUAACACAUCUCGCGGCCGGGGCGCGGCCUGCGGACCAGAAGCCUUUCUAUGGUUGACCUCGGAUCAGGUAGGGAUACCCGCUGAACUUAA